UUAUGUUGUGCGUGUGUAAAGGUAGUGCCAAGAAAAGCGAUGAUCAUGUUGAAAAUCAAUUCCCGGUACCCGAAACCGACACAGGUGGGCAAGUAGAGAAUACUAAGGGGCGCGAGGUAACUCUCUCCAAGGAACUCGGCAAAAUGACCCCGUAACUUAGGGAGAAGGGGUGCCACCGAGAGGUGGUCGCAGUGAAGAGGCCCAGGCGACUGUUUAGCAAAAACAUAGGUCUCUGCAAACUCGAAAGAGGAGGUAUAGGGGCUGACGCCUGCCCAGUGCCGGAAGGUUAAAGAAGUUGGUCAGUUUUAGGAUGAAGCUAGCGACUGAAGCCCCGGUGAACGGCGGCCGUAACUAUAACGGUCCUAAGGUAGCGAAAUUCCUUGUCGGGUAAAUUCCGACCCGCACGAAAGGCGUAACGAUCUGGGCGCUGUCUCGGAGAGAGGCUCGGCGAAAUAGGAUUGUCUGUGAAGAUACGGACUACCUGCAUUUGGACAGAAAGACCCUAUGAAGCUUUACUAUAGCUUGGAAUUGUGUUCGGGCUUCCUGUGCGCAGGAUAGGUGGGAGGCGUAGAAGGUAUUCUUGUGGGGAUACUGGAGCCAAGGGUGAGAUACCACUCUCAGGAGGCUAGAAUUCUAACUUAAUUAAGGACAGUUUCAGGUGGGUAGUUUGACUGGGGCGGUCGCCUCCAAAAAGGUAACGGAGGCGUACAAAGGUUCCCUCAGACUGGUUGGAAAUCAGUCGAAGAGUGCAAAGGCAGAAGGGAGCUUGACUGCGAGAAGUACAGUUCGAGCAGGGUGGGAACACGGUCUUAGUGAUCCGACGGUGCUGUGUGGAAGGGCCGUCGCUCAACGGAUAAAAGUUACUCUAGGAUAACAGGCUGAUCUCCCCCAAGAGUUCACAUCGACGGGGAGGUUUGGCACCUCGAUGUCGGCUCAUCGCAACCUGGGGCGGAAGUACGUCCCAAGGGUUGGGCUGUUCGCCCAUUAAAGCGGUACGUGAGCUGGGUUCAGAACGUCGUGAGACAGUUCGGUCCAAAUCCGAUGUAGGCGUGAGAAUAUUGAGAGGAGCCUUCCUUAGUACGAGAGGACCGGGAAGGACGCACCGCUGGUGUACCUGUUAUGAUGCCAAUAGUAAACGCAGGGUAGCCAAGUGCGGAGAGGAUAACCGCCGAAAGCAUCUAAGUGGGAAGCCCACCUCAAGAUGAGUAUUCUGGUGUAAGGUCACGGGAGGACGACCCGUAAAUAGGCACGAGGUGGAAGUGCAGAGAUGUAUGAAGCCGAAGUGUACUAAUAGACCGUCGGCUUGACC
rnacentral:rRNA from 1 species